rnacentral:rRNA from 1 species
GUAGGGAAUUGUUCGCAAUGGGCGCAAGCCUGACGACGCAACGCCGCGUGGAGGAUGAAGGUCUUCGGAUUGUAAACUCCUGUCGUGUGGGACGAACACUUGCCGGACGAAUAGGCCGGUGAGCUGACGGUACCACGAAUGGAAGCCCCGGCUAACUCUGUGCCAGCAGCCGCGGUAAUACAGAGGGGGCGAGCGUUGUUCGGAAUUACUGGGCGUAAAGGGCGCGUAGGCGGCUUGCUAAGUCAGACGUGAAAUCCCAUGGCUCAACCAUGGAACUGCGUCUGAUACUGGCGAGCUUGAAUCCGGGAGAGGGAUGCGGAAUUCCAGGUGUAGCGGUGAAAUGCGUAGAUAUCUGGAGGAACACCGGUGGCGAAGGCGGCAUCCUGGACCGGUAUUGACGCUGAUGCGCGAAAGCCAGGGGAGCAAAC